AAUAUGAAAUUAAAAUCAUUUUUGUUUUCUUCCAGAUCAGUUUCAACAUAUCAAGCUUGUAUACUUACAGUUAUCGCAGAGCAAAAGUAGUGGGAUAUAUGGUGGUUAAGCAAAAGAGGGGUACUCAUACAAGUCGGCCUGAUUUUGAAAUUUAGACAAGCCAUGAACAUUUCUACACUUUCGAAUGGGGUCACUUAAAAUCUGUCAAUCACAGAAGUCCUCUCGAUGAUCUGGUAGUACUGGAAAAAGAGCAUGCGACCUUAAAAUUUCACUCCUCGAGUGCUCUUGGAUUAAGAUUGGGGAAUUUCUGUUAGAAAAAACAAAAAAACCGCAGAAAACGAAAUACUGAGUGCAAGGUGCUGUUACCAACUAGAUAUUCUUAUUAGAAGAUAACCUGGGACAAGAAAAGGAAACGUUAUAUGUGUAAAUGAAUAAAAUAGACUUAAAUAUAUCAAAGUGAUAUUAUAAAUAGUAUAUAAAUAGAUAUAUAUAUAUAUAUAUAUCAAAGAAGUUUUUGAUCAUGUUCUUGUUUAUUAUUUUAGUUCAAUAAAUUUUUGGAAGAAUAUA